rnacentral:rRNA from 1 species
CAUGUAGGCGGCAUGACAAGUCUGGUGUGAAAUAUCUCGGCUCAACCGAGAAAACGCACUGGAAACUGUCAAGCUUGAGUAUCGGAGGGGAAGCUAGAAUUCCUGGUGUAGGAGUGAAAUCUGUAGAUAUCAGGAAGAAUACCGGUGGCGAAGGCGAGCUUCUGGCCAGAUACUGACGCUGAGAUGCGAAAGCGUGGGGAGCGAACAGGAUUAGAUACCCUGGUAGUCC